AGUCGAGGGGUACAGGAGAGCUUGCUCUCGCUGACGACCGGCGCACGGGUGCGGAACGCGUAUGGAACCUACCUCAAUCAGGGGGAUAGCCCAGGGAAACUUGGAUUAAUACCCCAUAGUAUUGUUUUAUUGCAUGAUAGAACAAUUAAAACUUCGGUGGAUUGAGAUGGCCAUGCGUAUCAUUAGCUAGUUGGUAAGGUAACGGCUUACCAAGGCGACGAUGAUUAGGGGCCCUGAGAGGGGGAUCCCCCACACUGGUACUGAGACACGGACCAGACUCCUACGGGAGGCAGCAGUGAGGAAUAUUGGACAAUGGUCGGAAGACUGAUCCAGCCAUGCCGCGUGCAGGAUGACUGCCCUAUGGGUUGUAAACUGCUUUUGUACGAGAAGAACACCCUCUUCGUGAAGAGGACUGACGGUAUCGUACGAAUAAGGACCGGCUAACUCCGUGCCAGCAGCCGCGGUAAUACGGAGGGUCCGAGCGUUAUCCGGAAUCAUUGGGUUUAAAGGGUCCGUAGGCGGGCUAUUAAGUCAGAGGUGAAAUUGUGCAGCUCAACUGUAGAACUGCCUUUGAUACUGAUAGUCUUGAGUUAUGGUGAGGUAGCCGGAACAUGUGGUGUAGCGGUGAAAUGCAUAGAUAUCACAUAGAACGCCGAUUGCGAAGGCAGGUUACCAACCAUAUACUGACGCUGAUGGACGAAAGCGUGGGGAGCGAACGGGAUUAGAUACCCCGGUAGUCCACGCCGUAAACGAUGGAUACUAGCUGUUGGGUUUUCGGACUCAGCGGCCAAGCGAAAGUGAUAAGUAUCCCACCUGGGGAGUACGUUCGCAAGAAUGAAACUCAAAGGAAUUGACGGGGGCCCGCACAAGCGGUGGAG
rnacentral:rRNA from 1 species